rnacentral:rRNA from 1 species
UUCCCAUGGACGAAAGUCUGACGGAGCAACGCCGCGUGAGUGAUGAAGGCUUUCGGGUCGUAAAACUCUGUUGUUAGGGAAGAACAAGUGCUAGUUGAAUAAGCUGGCACCUUGACGGUACCUAACCAGAAAGCCACGGCUAACUACGUGCCAGCAGCCGCGGUAAUACGUAGGUGGCAAGCGUUAUCCGGAAUUAUUGGGCGUAAAGCGCGCGCAGGUGGUUUCUUAAGUCUGAUGUGAAAGCCCACGGCUCAACCGUGGAGGGUCAUUGGAAACUGGGAGACUUGAGUGCAGAAGAGGAAAGUGGAAUUCCAUGUGUAGCGGUGAAAUGCGUAGAGAUAUGGAGGAACACCAGUGGCGAAUGCUACUUUCUGGUCUGUAACUGACACUGAGGCGCGAAAGCGUGGGGAGCAAACAGGAUUACAUACCCUGGUACUCCACGCCGUAAACGAUGAGUGCUAAGUGUUAGAGGGUUUCCGCCCUUUAGUGCUGAAGUUAACGCAUUAAGCACUCCGCCUGGGGAGUACGGCCGCAAGGCUGAAACUCAAAGGAAUUGACGGGGGCCCGCACAAG